GGGGAAUAUUGCGCAAUGGGGGCAACCCUGACGCAGCCAUGCCGCGUGAGUGAAGAAGGCCUUCGGGUUGUAAAGUUCUUUCGGUAGCGAGGAAGGCAUUUAGUUUAAUAGACUAGGUGAUUGACGUUAACUACAGAAGAAGCACCGGCUAACUCCGUGCCAGCAGCCGCGGUAAUACGGAGGGUGCGAGCGUUAAUCGGAAUAACUGGGCGUAAAGGGCACGCAGGCGGUGACUUAAGUGAGGUGUGAAAGCCCCGGGCUUAACCUGGGAAUUGCAUUUCAUACUGGGUCGCUAGAGUACUUUAGGGAGGGGUAGAAUUCCACGUGUAGCGGUGAAAUGCGUAGAGAUGUGGAGGAAUACCGAAGGCGAAGGCAGCCCCUUGGGAAUGUACUGACGCUCAUGUGCGAAAGCGUGGGGAGCAAACAGGAUUAGAUACCCUGGUAGUCCACGCUGUAAACGAUGUCGAUUUGGGGGUUGAACUUUAAGUUUGGCGCCCGUAGCUAACGUGAUAAAUCGACCGCCUGGGGAGUACGGCCGCAAGGUUA
rnacentral:rRNA from 1 species